rnacentral:misc_RNA from 1 species
ACAAAAUAUAAUAUAUCCACACAAAAAUUAUAAUUCUAUGACAAUAAAUUAAUAGGCUAAAAUGAAUGUUUGGGAAUAAUUUCUAGAUAAAAAAAAAUAAUAUGCCUCAAUUAUAGUGUGAUCAUUUUGCUUUGUAUAUACAAUCUUUUUUUUUGGGAGAUAAUUUAUAAUAAUUGAGGCAAAUAUAAUCAUUUAAUAAUUAAAAACAAAUAAAAUGUGAUAAAUCUCAAAAUUAGAUAUUACGAAAAAACAAAAAAAAUCAACUGUUGAAAUCGAGAGGUUCAACCAAGCCGGAGGAAAAAGAAAAACAAAAAUUUUAUAAUAUUGUAAGAGUUCA